rnacentral:hammerhead_ribozyme from 1 species
GUCCAGCUGAUGAGUUGCAAACAGGACGAAACGAUGGUCCUGGAU